GUGGGUAGUUUGACUGGGGCGGUCUCCUCCCAAAGAGUAACGGAGGAGCACGAAGGUUGGCUAAUCCUGGUCGGACAUCAGGAGGUUAGUGCAAUGGCAUAAGCCAGCUUGACUGCGAGCGUGACGGCGCGAGCAGGUGCGAAAGCAGGUCAUAGUGAUCCGGUGGUUCUGAAUGGAAGGGCCAUCGCUCAACGGAUAAAAGGUACUCCGGGGAUAACAGGCUGAUACCGCCCAAGAGUUCAUAUCGACGGCGGUGUUUGGCACCUCGAUGUCGGCUCAUCACAUCCUGGGGCUGAAGUAGGUCCCAAGGGUAUGGCUGUUCGCCAUUUAAAGUGGUACGCGAGCUGGGUUUAGAACGUCGUGAGACAGUUCGGUCCCUAUCUGCCGUGGGCGCUGGAGAAUUGAGGGGGGCUGCUCCUAGUACGAGAGGACCGGAGUGGACGCAUCACUGGUGUUCGGG
rnacentral:rRNA from 1 species